ensembl:lncRNA
CGGAUUUUAAGCUACGAAAACACGACCGCCUGUUUUAACCUGACAGCCUGAGGUGUUCUUCAGUAAACUGGACUACCCGACAGAAGGACCCGAGGCCCCGCUGCACUUUUUCGGAGCUGCCCUCAGAUUCAGACGUCAGCACCACCCAGUGACAGCAGACAGAUCAUCCAACAUGUUCACAUGCUAACUGCAAAAUGAACUGAUGAAAACAGUACACGUGCUGUAGUGAAAGCUGCAGCUUUAUUGAUAAAGUUAAAGACAAAAAAACAAAAGGAUUAAUCACUCGUGUAAUAGUGUCACUAUAUAUCAGCAUUAACAGGACCUCAGUUUGGUGUUUCACAAAGCUGCUGAUCUCAGAUCUGCACAGCUUCUGCUUUAAACACUUGAUGUACUCAGCUGCAUGAAGAGCAUAUGAGAUUUUCUCUGGCACAAUUAAAUAAAACCUGAUGAAGGUCAAAGGUCGUCACUUGUAUGUUGAACUACAAACUUGUCAUCUGGAAUUCUUUCACAGUUUUCUGCAGAUAGUGUGUUGUUUACCAUAAAGUGAUUCAGAGUUAUUCAUACCAGAGUAACCAGAGAGGAUCAUAUAUUUUUAAAUAUAUAACUUUCUACAGGACUGAAUAUAAUAUCUUUAUGUAAAAGUCCGGAGCCUCUGGGGAGUAUCCGAGUAUUUAUAACAUUACACAAACCAAAGGUCUCCAUCACAGUAUUCAUGAAAUGCUGGAUUUAUCCAUCUCCUGGAUCGGGCCUACGGAUGAGUGCUGAAGAUUUCCCUGUGAGGGAGCUGCUGGUGAAGAUCAUGAGUCCUGCUUGAUCAAUGCGAUGAGCUUCUGUCUUCCUGGUGUUUCUUAAAUGAUGCCUCUCUCAGUGGGUCAACAGAACUUCUGGCACAGGACAGCUGUGAUGAAAGAAAGGGAAGAAGUUUCUCUAAACCUCUGGACCCAGGAAACCCAGCUUAGUCCUGAUGGUCUCCCUCACUAGUUUCUCCCCAGGGUGAAUGUAGCUGUUGAUAUAAUAUGGACUCUAUUAUUAAAUGAAAAGAACAAAUCAGACUACAUUACUGAAACGUUCUGCUGCUGUUUUUAAAGUUUCCAUGUUACCAGGAUGUAGAGGGCUCUGACGACUUAAACAGUUUUAGAUCCAUUACACUCACAGUUUUAUGUUAAAAUCUCAAAGGACAGCAUUAUAUUUUUGAUAUUAACAGUAACUCUGGGCUUCUGUAGAGUGUGCAGAUGAUCUCAUCGCUGUCUAAAAAUGGAUAAAAAAAAAAAACAUAAGAAGUGCUGAAUCCUUCAAUAAUACAGACUAUUAGAGUAGCAGGUGUGUAGCAUCGCUAACUACCUAGCAACAAGCCUCCAACACAGUGCGUAUGCUAGCGGCUAAUCUAGCUAACAAAUUAACAACAGAGUGAUUUUAGAACUAUAAGAUGAUAAGCUGUGUUUCUUUUUUUAUAACAGUGACAUGGUUGUAUUUACCUUAAUUAAAGGAGUCGUCAGUUGCGGUAAAACAACAAAAAAACUCGAGCAGCCGGGCUACGUAAUAAGUGUAGGGGGGCGUGUUUGCGGUCAUGUCCAGCGGGUGUGUGGGCGGGAGCGUUACACAGUCGCUCCACCUCAAGUCACUACUGCGCAGACUGGCUCCAAACUUGCAAGAUGGCAGCCUCCACAAGCGGGAUAUUUUGGCUUCAUUUUUGCACAAUGGGAGGAGGCGGUGUCGCGUCGUCCAUGUUUUCUACAGUCAAUGUUCUGUAUGGGCUCAAAAUGUGGUCAUAAAUAUUUUGUACUUGUAAAUCAGUUUUGUACUUGUAAAUCAGGAUUUGUAUGUGUAAAAAGAAUUUGUGCGUGCGUAAAAAAGAUUUGUAUGUGUAAAAA